rnacentral:lncRNA from 1 species
UUGUUACAGUUAUUAUAUUUAUUUUUAAUUAACUGUAGGUAUGUACAAUUAUUAAAAUUAAUAUUUUAUACCUUAUUGUUAAUGUUAAAUGAAUAUGUAGUAUCUAUAAUCAGAACUAGUUUAAUUUGAAAAUUAUAAUUGUAAAAUAACAUUUAUUAUUUGAUUGAAAAUUGCUCUAAUUAAUUGUGUACAACCUUUUGAAUUUAAAUGUUUAAGUUAAUUUCUAUUGGGUAUAAGAUGUCAUAAAAGAAAAAUAACAUAUACACAAAUCUUCAUAGCUUCAAGUGCCAGUUAUAUUCAUUGUACAAGAUAAUGAAGUUCCAACUGAAAAAUGUUAUGUUUUUUAUGAUAUUGAAACUCAAGUGAAAAAAAAUACACUUAUUACGCUCUAACUGAAUAUUUAAUUAUAAGUUAGAUUGCUUAUAGUUAAAUACAUUUUGUUUCUUAUUUAGACUGAUCAUUACAAGUCAUUGGCAACAAAUUUCUUGGUGAUAAAAUUGUACCACUUAUGGAACUGGACAACAUACUUGACUUCUCAUUAAUUAAUAAUUGGACAGAAAACAAUAUUCAUUCUCUAGGUUUAAUCAAAAUCACUAUGAAUACCUACAUUCGCCACCUGUAGACUCAUCGAAAUUGUAUUGGUAUUUUCCAGUUUUGAAAUUAAUUUGCAUGAUCUAAUUGAUUUUUAAUUUUUACAUAAACAUUCUGUAGAAUUAAAGUUCACUAAAAAACCAUUAACAUUGACUAUAUAACUGUUAUAGCCACUUGAUUUGUAAUAGUUAAUGCGAUUACCAGUGAUCUACUCAGACCAGACAUAUGAAUAGUCUUGCCUACCACAUCAAAACAUAACCUAGGCGGUUUCACAAGGAGGACACAUCAAUUUUUAGUUGUUUAGGCGCAGGAAUACAAAUUUUUCUCGUAAACAAAGUAUGUUAUACAUAUCAAUUAUGUUUUUUGUAAAUCAUUUAAAUCAAAAUAAUAUUAAUUACUUAGCUGGAAUCCUAAUGGAAUGCAAUCUGAAAUUACCUUUCAUUUGAUCUGGACAUUGAGAAAAUCAACAAUUGCUCAUAACAAAAGAAUAUAGUUAUUUACCCAUUAAAAAAUGAGGGUAAUUAUUUAGUUUAUGUCAAAACAUCUUAGCUUAAAAAAUUACCAGUCAUUUUGACAGUAAGUAAAAUAAAAAUUUGUUUAGAUAAAAUUAUAAGCUUCAAGCAUUUGUAGUAUGAUACAAGGAAAUAUACAUAUUUUUUAAAACUUAAAUAAUAUCAAAUAAUAUUUAUUUAAUGAAAUUGAUAAAUAAAGUUACCUACUCAAUAUUUUGAAAACCCUUUAAUUAGCUCAAUAUUUUGUGAAUAUUAUUUUAUAAGCAACAGAUUAAGGAAACUAGAGCUGAUUACCUUUAAACAUACUGAAAACAAGUUCUAUUUUUUUUAAUAGAAUACAAUUUAAAAUUUAGUUUUACUAUAAUGUGUGUUUUUUGUAUUAAGUGUAGCACCUUUAGUUGGUAUAUUAGAGAAAUUAGUUUUUGAUUUUAAAAGAGGUUUUAUAAAUAAUUGAGAAAAACCAGAAAAAAAAUGAUGGGAGUUUACAAGUUUUGUACAUAAUUUUUAUUUAGUAGAUACUCUGUGGAUUAAAUUUUAAUAUGAAACAGAAAUGCUUGAAAACUUUACAGGGGGUUCAUUNUUUUACAAAUUUUGACUAAAAUUAUGAAUAUUAUGGCCUUUGAAAAUAUGUAUUGCAGAAUUUCACUCUGGAUUGUUUAUUGUUAUAUAUAACCGUUGCACACCUGUCUCCAGUAUCAGCUCCUUUUUCUAUAUAUAUCAUAUAAUCUAUGAUUCAAAAUUAUUUGUUUUAUAAAAUAUGGACCAAAUAAAAUUUAUUGAAUCCUCUAAACUAUUUCAGAUUCAUGAGAAAUAAAUUGUUAUAGUUUAGAGUACCAAUUAACUUCUAAAAAAUGUUUUAUUAAUAUUUUUUAUUUUACUUCAGAAAAGUGAACAUUUAUAAACAUAAAAAAAAAAUAUUUUUAUCUCAAAAUAAAUAACUUAUUGAUUACUUAUUGACUUACUGAUUUAGCCUUAAAAGUGUAUGAUAAAAAGGAAAAAAUAAAACUAUAUAGUCAAUUUAGUUGAAUAUAAUAAUAUAAUUUAUAAAAUUAUAAAUCAAUAGUAUCAUUUAAGUAUUUUUAAGUAUAUUUAAGUUAAGUGAAAAUCAAUAUGUUAACUCUAGAUAAUGAUAUCGUAAAUUAGUAUAAUGCCUACAAAUUCAAGAUUUUCUUUGAAAGGAACUUUUUCUGUUUUACAUGAACAUAUUUAAAAAUAAUUUAACGAAUACUUUAACAAAUACUUGUGUUAAGGAAGUGGUACCAUUUUUAAACUGGAAAAAUGAAUUUAAAUAUUUUAUUAGUUUUUAAAUCGUGUCAUUAAAAUUGCCUAUACAUAACCCCUUAAAUGUUAGUAUUUUUGAACUCAUUACAUUAAUUUUUAUUUUUUAUCUUAGAAGAAUUUUCUUUCUUCUUGCUCUAAAUUUUAUAUGUAGUAUGUUUUCUGAAAUAGAAUUUUACCCGGGUGGUACUGUAAGAAGGUCAUUGAUUUUCUAAGGAGUUUUCAUAAUAAUUGAGAAAAACCAGGAAAAAACAAUGGCCUACUCCUGUCAGUCUUUUUUGUCAUAUCUAAACUUAAAGCAAACUUAAGAAUUUAAUUGUUAUAUAUGUAUUUAUAAUUUGUUUUAUCAAACUAGUUCCUUAUGGUUUAUUUCAAAAUAAUAAGAGUUUUUAUUGUUUAGUAUGUUAUAGGUUUAAAAAUAAAAUAAAAUAAUUUAUUUAUUUGUUUUUAGAUUCAUUUUCUAAUGAUGGUGGUUCUGAAUGGAAGUACCAGAGAACAUUGACUAUUGUACCUACUGGAUAAAAAAAUAAAUACAAUUGAUACACUUGAAACAAGUUUUAAAUUAUAGAAUUUUAAUUUACUUAUUUUCUGUAAACAACUUUUUUACCAGAAAUCAUGUUCCAAUUAAAAGAUGACUUAAGAGAAAUAUUGAGAAUUUAUGGCAAUAAUUUCAUUAAUUUUGGUUUUUUUUAGUAAUUUCGUUUAUUUUAAUAAAAUACUUUGCGUUUCUAGACAAUAGUGAGCAUGCUUUUUAGUUAUUUUUCGAAAUUUGACAUAUUAUAAUAUUUAAUUUUAAUUUGUUUUUUUAUCAAUAAAAUUGAUUUGGCCAAGCAGAAAUGUUUCAAAAUUUUACUAAAAAAAUAAAGUAAAGUGUAAUGUCAAAAAUUGUUUAAUGUAAAAAUCACUGCAAGGACAUGCAAGCAUUAUAAUUAUAAUGGAAUGUAUGAAAAAUAAUUCAAAUUUCUUAUUAUUGUUAAAAUUAUAAACAAAAUAAAAAUAAAACAUAACUGUUAAUAAAAUAUUUGGAAUAUUAUUAAAAAGAAGUAUACCUCCAAAAAAAAAAUUAAAAAUCUAUUUACUUAUAAGUUUUAAUACUUAGAAAUAUGUUUUCCAC